rnacentral:rRNA from 1 species
GGGGGGGCCAAGUCGCCGCGCCGACCGCAAGGGGGCAAGCGCCUAACCUCCAACUCCUGAUUGGGACUAAGUCGUAACAAGGUAACUGUAGGUGAACCUGCAGAAGGAUCA